rnacentral:rRNA from 1 species
ACUAACAAGGAUUCCCCUAGUAACUGCGAGUGAAGCGGGAAAAGCUCAAAUUUAAAAUCUGGCGGUCUUUUGCCGUCCGAGUUGUAAUCUAGAGAAGUAAUGCCCGUGCUGGACCGUGUAUAAGUCUCCUGGGAUGGGGCGUCAUAGAGGGUGAGAAUCCCGUCUUUGACACGGACUACCAGUGCAUUGUGGUAUGCUCUCAAAGAGUCGAGUUGUUUGGGAAUGCAGCUCAAAAUGGGUGGUAAAUUCCAUCUAAAGCUAAAUAUUGGCGAGAGACCGAUAGCGAACAAGUACCGUGAGGGAAAGAUGAAAAGAACUUUGGAAAGAGAGUUAAACAGUACGUGAAAUUGCUGAAAGGGAAACGCUUGAAGUCAGUCGCGUUGGCCAGGGAUCAGCCUUGCUUUUGCAUGGUGUAUUUUCUGGUUAACGGGUCAGCAUCAAUUUUGACCACUGGAAAAGGGCCUGGGGAAUGUGGCAGCUUAGGCUGUGUUAUAGCCCCUGGUCGCAUACAGUGGUUGGGAUUGAGGAAUUCAGCACGCCGCAAGGCCGGGUUUCGACCACGUUCGUGCUUAGGAUGCUGGCAUAAUGGCUUUAAGCGACCCGUCUUGAAACACGGACCAAGGAGUCUAACAUGCCUGCGAGUAUUUGGGUGGAAAACCCAAGUGCGCAAUGAAAGUGAAAGUUGAGAUCCCUGUCGUGGGGGAGCAUCGACGCCCGGACCAGAACUUUUGGGACGGAUCCGCGGUGGAGCAUGUAUGUUGGGACCCGAAAGAUGGUGAACUAUGCCUGAAUAGGGUGAAGCCAGAGGAAACUCUGGUGGAGGCUCGUAGCGAUUCUGACGUGCAAAUCGAUCGUCAAAUUUGGGUAUAGGGGCGAAAGACUAAUCG